GCCCCUGUAGCUCAAAGGAUAGAGCGCCUGAAUGACUUACACGGAGGUUAUGGGUUCGAAUCCCAUCAGGGGCG
rnacentral:tRNA from 1 species